rnacentral:rRNA from 1 species
AACAGGAUUAGAUACCCUGGUAGUCCACGCCGUAAACGAUGUCAACUAGCCGUUGGAAUCCUUGAGAUUUUAGUGGCGCAGCUAACGCAUUAAGUUGACCGCCUGGGGAGUACGGCCGCAAGGUUAAAACUCAAAGGAAUUGACGGGGGCCUGCACAAGCGGUGGAGCAUGUGGUUUAAUUCGAAGCAACGCGCAGAACCUUACCAGCGUUUGACAUGUCCGGACGAUUUCCAGAGAUGGAUCUCUUCCCUUCGGGGACUGGAACACAGGUGCUGCAUGGCAGUCGUCAGCUCGUGUCGUGAGAUGUUGUGUUAAGUCCCGCAACGAGCGCAACCCUCGCCUUUAGUUACCAUCAUUUGGUUGGGUACUCUAAAGGAACCGCCGGUGAUAAGCCGGAGGAAGGUGGGGAUGACGUCAAGUCCUCAUGGCCCUUACGCGCUGGGCUACACACGUGCUACAAUGGCAACUACAGUGGGCAGCGACCCUGCGAGGGCGAGCUAAUCCCCAAAAGUUGUCUCAGUUCGGAUUGUUCUCUGCAACUCGAGAGCAUGAAGGCGGAAUCGCUAGUAAUCGCGGAUCAGCAUGCCGCGGUGAAUACGUUCCCAGGCCUUGUACACACCGCCCGUCACACCAUGGGAGUUGGAUUCACCCGAAGGCGUUGCGCCAACCCGCAAGGGAAGCAGGCGACCACGGUGGGUUCAGCGACUGGGGUGAAGUCGUAACAAGGUAACC